rnacentral:tRNA from 1 species
GACUCUGUAGCUCAGUUGGUUAGACAGCUGCACCAGAAUUGCAGGGCCGCAGGUUUGAUUCCUGCUAGGAACC